rnacentral:tRNA from 1 species
AGCGGAUUGACCGGAGAAGGCAACGGGCUUCCCUCAUAAGGAAGCGCAGCAAUGCAUGGAGGAUUCGAUCGCCUCAUCCGCUA